GUGGAUAGCCCUCCGAAAGGCGGAUUAAUACCGCAUAACAUAAGGUGGCGGCAUCGUCUCUUUAUUAAAGAUUUAUUGGUUGUAGAUGAGGUUGCGGGUCAUUAGCUAGUUGGUUGGGUAACGGCUGACCAAGGCGACGAUGACUAGGGGAGCUGAGAGGCUGGUCCCCCACACGGGCACUGAGAUACGGGCCCGACUCCUACGGGAGGCAGCAGUAGGGAAUAUUGGGCAAUGGGCGAGAGCCUGACCCAGCCAUGCCGCGUGCAGGAAGAAGGCUUUCUGAGUCGUAAACUGCUUUUGACAGGGAAGAAUAAGCUGGUCGUGACCAGUGAUGACGGUACCUGCAGAAUAAGCACCGGCUAACUCCGUGCCAGCAGCCG
rnacentral:rRNA from 1 species